rnacentral:RNase_P_RNA from 1 species
GCAAGUUGGAUAGCUAAUCACGGAAUUCAGUUAUUAAUUUGACAAGUUUUGAAUAUAUCAGAACGAAUUCUGAGGAAGGUCCAUACAUCAUUAGUGGUGAGUGUUGAGAGACAUCUGCUGUGAGGUAGAGCUCUGGAACAGAAACGACACAGCUUUCAGGGAGUUAUGAAUCAUGCGAGGAACUGAGAACUGAAAGAUAUGAUGAAACGACCACCUUCACCGAUGCAACUCCUAGAGAGGCAUAGACAAAUGUUAGCACAUUCGCUUCUUCGAAAGAAGACGAAUGACAGAAUAUGGCCUAUUUCCAACUUGC